UUCAUGCUCCUUCUUGGCUUCAACCUGAGCCUUCAGAGAGAACGAGUGAGAGAAAAAAGGAGAGAGGGAGCCAGAGAGAGACACAUUACAUCACUGCAGCCAUGUGCAAACCAAUCAGAGGGUGCCACGGAGGGGACCUGAAUUCUGACUGGAGGACUGGCAACCAUCAGGCACCUAAAAGUUUAACUCCGCACCCUGUGGCCAUCUGCGAGGAGCGACAUGCCAGAUGAAUCACAUUAAACUGUAAAACGUUUUACAGCAAGCAAGGUCUGCGGAUUCCAGUGUCACGCCUCUACAGUUUGCCCC